CUUCGCGACGCCGACGCCCGCAUGAGACCCGACCGGCAGUGCGGCCGCGUGCUCAAGACGGGUUCGACGGUCGUUCGUGUCGAGGGACAAAUGCGUUGCUCGGGCCGACGGAGCCAAAAGACCCCACGCCCGCGCACAACGUUCCGCAUCCGAGAGCACGGGCAACGCGCCCCGUGGGCCUGGGCAGCCACGCAACUGGGCGAGGCGUGCCGGGAACACGAGGCUUGCCUGACGUCCACCCCACCACCCGCGAGGGCAUGGGGCGGAGAGGGACCAACGAAACCGUCGGAUUCCUUUCGAUAG
rnacentral:misc_RNA from 1 species